GCGUUAUUGGUGAAGUGGUUAACACGCCAGAUUGUGGCUCUGGUAUGCGUGGGUUCGAUUCCCACAUAGCGCCCCA
rnacentral:tRNA from 2 species